UACGAAGGGGACUAGCGUUGUUCGGAUUUACUGGGCGUAAAGCGCGCGUAGGCGGAUCGCUAAGUCAGGGGUGAAAUCCCAGGGCUCAACCCUGGAACUGCCUUUGAUACUGACGAUCUGGAGAUCGGGAGAGGUUGGUGGAAUUCCGAGUGUAGAGGUGAAAUUCGUAGAUAUUCAGAGGAACACCAGAAGCGAAGGCGGCCAACUGGCCCGAUACUGACACUGAGACGCGAAAGCCAGGGGAGCGAACGGG
rnacentral:rRNA from 1 species